GUCGAACGCUGGCGGCGUGCCUAAUACAUGCAAGUCGAGAGAAGCGGCAGAUGGGUGAGUAACGCGUGGGUAACCUGCCCAUAAGUCUGGGAUACCAUUUGGAAACAGAUGCUAAUACCGGAUACUAAAGGAAGGACUUGCUAUGCAUUAGCUAGUUGGAAAGGUAACGGCUUACCAAGGCGAUGAUGCAGAGCCGAGGUGAGAGGAUGAUCAGCCACAUUGGUACUGAGACACGGCCCAAACUCCUACGGGAGGCAGCAGUAGGGAAUCUUCCACAAUGGGCGAAAGUCUGAUGGAGCAACGCCGCGUGAAUGAAGAAGGUUUUCGGUUCGUAAAGCUCUGUUGUUGGUUAAGCGGUAAUCUACCAGAAAGUCACGGCUAACUACGUGCCAGCAGCCGCGGUAAUUC
rnacentral:rRNA from 1 species